UACGAAGGGGGCUAGCGUUGCUCGGAAUCACUGGGCGUAAAGCGCACGUAGGCGGACUCUUAAGUCGGUGGUGAAAUCCUGGAGCUCAACUCCAGAACUGCCUCCGAUACUGGGAGCCUUCGAGUCCGGGAGAGGUGAGUGGAACUGCGAGUGUAGAGGUGAAAUUCGUAGAUAUUCGCAAGAACACCAGUGGCGAAGGCGGCUCACUGGCCCGAUACUGACGCUGAGGCACGAAAGCGUGGGGAGCAAACAGG
rnacentral:rRNA from 1 species